rnacentral:lncRNA from 1 species
AACACUUGAUGUGCAUAGGAAGCACCUAGUGACCUUGUCAGAAUGCAAAUUGUGAUUGGGUAGGUCUGGGAUGAAGCCUGGGCACCUGCAUUUUUAACAGUGAUGUCUUGCUGUGAACAGAAUAGUUUCUAAUCUCCCCAAAUUUGGCACCAUCCUGGAGAGAGGCUCUGCAGAAAUGAAAGUUACAUGUAACAUCAUAGUAAAGCUUAAUCCCUGUUAUUUUAGAUAAAGCUUAAUCUCCAUUAUUCUUCAAUGAUGAACAGAAUUUCAUUUCAUUGGAUAACUCAGGACAUUGUGGACAGUGAUAUCCAUGGAAAGCAAGAUACUCAACAAUGCCUUAAAUGCCAGCAGACCCUCUAAACUCACAAAAGGAGCUCCGGUCCUGCUGAGCAGGAGAACAGCAGGGUUUGGGAAAGCUGCUGAUUGAAAUGCAAGCCUUCUCCUGAGAAGAUAGAAUAUCUAGAAUCAAGAAAGAGGCAUUUGGCUUUUCCGGGUGCACCCACCCCAGCUUCACUUACAAAGGAUGAAGUUAACCAUAGGAAGU